AUGGAAGGCUCUCCCAGGAUUGUUUGUGAAGAGCAUGGCUGGUCCACACUUCCUGUCUGCAUUAAGGAAAGUUAUCGAACGACAAAAAAAGUCACAGCCACCACAGCCAGCACAAGCACAAGCACAGGCUCCAGCAGCACAACACUUGGCUUAAUAGAAAUGAUGCCUGGUCCACCUCCAAAUUCUCCAGAUUCUCCAGAUCUUGGAUAUACUCUAGCAGUUCUUGGAUGUAUAUUCUUUGCUUUAGUAGUGUGUUUCUGUAUCGUGGCUAUUGUACGUCACCACGUAAAACGGAAAGGGGAAACGGCAAAGACUGAUGGUUUAAGCUCCACCCAGCUGCAAGAUGCAUCAUCCAGUGAGAGAAAAUCAAUAUGAAGCUCAUUCAGAGGUUGUGCCGUUGGAUCUGCCUAACAGACCGAAGGUGUACGAGUCAAGCUACCCGGGCAGAGACAGGUGAAUGUAAUGCCUCAAAGGCAUCAUGAGUAUAAGCUGCUCGGAGGAUAUUCAUUAAAGUAAUAAUAAUGUAAAUAAAAACUAUUUGUACUAUAUACA
rnacentral:lncRNA from 1 species